rnacentral:rRNA from 1 species
CGCGUAGGUGGUUUGGUCAGUCAGAUGUGAAAGCCCUGGGCUUAACCUGGGAAUUGCAUUUGAUACUGCCAGACUAGAGUAUGGUAGAGGGAAGUGGAAUUCCGGGUGUAGCGGUGAAAUGCGUAGAUAUCCGGAGGAACAUCAGUGGCGAAGGCGGCUUCCUGGACCAAUACUGACACUGAGGUGCGAAAGCGUGGGUAGCAAAACA